rnacentral:rRNA from 1 species
UAAAGCACUUUUAGUGGGGAGGAAAUGCUCAGACCUAACACGUCUGGGAGCUGACUUAACCCAAAGAAAAAGCACCGGCUAACUCUGUGCCAGCAGCCGCGGUAAUACAGAGGGUGCAAGCGUUAAUCGGAAUUACUGGGCGUAAAGCGAACGUAGGCGGUUACCUAAGUCGGAUGUGAAAUCCCCGGGCUCAACCUGGGAAUUGCAUUCGAGACUGGAUAGCUAGAAUGCGGAAGAGGGAAGCCGGGAAAUUUUCCCGGGUGUAGCGGUGAAAAUGCGUAGAUAUCGGAAGGAACAUCAGUGGACGAAAGCGGCUUCCUGGUCCAGCAUUGACGCUCAGGUUCGAAAGCGGUGGGGAGCAAAACAGGAUUAGACUACCUGGUAGUCCACGCCAAUAAACGAUGAGGACUAGACGUUGAGAGGGUUAGCCUCCCAGUGUCGCAG